rnacentral:rRNA from 1 species
GUCCACACUGUAACGAUGAAUACUAGGUGUGCGGGACUGACCCCUGCGUGCCGCAGUAAACACAAUAAGUAUUCCACCUGGGAGUACGAUCGCAAGGUUGAAACUCAAAGGAAUUGACGGGGCCCGCACAAGCGGUGGAUUAUGUGGUUUAAUUCGAAGCAACGCGAAGAACCUUACCAGGGUUUGACAUCCUGCUAACGAAGUAGAGAUACAUUAGGUGCCCUUCGGGAAAGCAGAGACAGGUGGUGCAUGGUUGUCGU